rnacentral:rRNA from 1 species
GCUCAUGUCCAUACCACCCUGAGCUUGUCCAGUCUCGGAAGCUAAAAAGGGUUGAACACAGUUCAUUCUUGAAUGGAAGACCCCCUGGGAAUAGUGGGUGCUUUAAGCU